AGUGAACGCUGGCGGUAGGCCUAACACAUGCAAGUCGAACGGCAGCACAGUAAGAGCUUGCUCUUACGGGUGGCGAGUGGCGGACGGGUGAGGAAUACAUCGGAAUCUACUUUUUCGUGGGGGAUAACGUAGGGAAACUUACGCUAAUACCGCAUACGACCUACGGGUGAAAGCAUGGGAUCUUCGGACCUUGCGCGAUUGUAUGAGCCGAUGUCGGAUUAGCUAGUUGGCGGGGUAAAGGCCCACCAAGGCGACGAUCCGUAGCUGGUCUGAGAGGAUGAUCAGCCACACUGGAACUGAGACACGGUCCAGACUCCUACGGGAGGCAGCAGUGGGGAAUAUUGGACAAUGGGCGCAAGCCUGAUCCAGCCAUACCGCGUGAGUGAAGAAGGCCUUCGGGUUGUAAAGCCCUUUUGUUGGGAAAGAAAAGCAGCAGGUUAAUACCCCGCUGUUCUGACGGUACCCAAAGAAUAAGCACCGGCUAACUUCGUG
rnacentral:rRNA from 1 species